rnacentral:rRNA from 1 species
GACAGAGGGUGCAAACGUUGCUCGGAAUCACUGGGCGUAAAGGGCGUGUAGGCGGGAAGGAAAGUCAGAUGUGAAAUCCCUGGGCUCAACCCGGGAAGUGCACUCGAUACUGUCGAGCUAGAGUAUCGGAGAGGUUGGUGGAAUUCUCGGUGUAGAGGUGAAAUUCGUAGAUAUCGAGAGGAACACCGGUGGCGAAGGCGGCCAACUGGACGAAUACUGACGCUGAGACUCGAAAGCGUGGGGAGCAAACAGG